rnacentral:tRNA from 1 species
AGUCUUAUAUUCAAUAAUGAUAAUAGAAUGCAAUUCUAUAGGAAUAACUGUGUUAUUAAGACUU